rnacentral:rRNA from 1 species
CAGUAGCCACGGUAAUACGAAGGGGGCUAGCGUUGUUCGGAUUUACUGGGCGUAAAGGGUGCGUAGGCGGAUUGUUAAGUCAGGGGUGAAAUCCCGAGGCUCAACCUCGGAACUGCCUUUGAUACUGGCGAUCUUGAGUCCGGGAGAGGUGAGUGGAACUGCGAGUGUAGAGGUGAAAUUCGUAGAUAUUCGCAAGAACACCGGUGGCGAAGGCGGCUCACUGGCCCGGAACUGACGCUGAGGCACGAAAGCGUGGGGAGCAAACAGGAUUAGAUACCCCGGUAGUCCCUGUCUCUUAUAC